rnacentral:rRNA from 1 species
GAUGAACGCUGGCGGCGUGCCUAAUACAUGCAAGUCGAGCGAACGGACGAGAAGCUUGCUUCUCUGAUGUUAGCGGCGGACGGGUGAGUAACACGUGGAUAACCUACCUAUAAGACUGGGAUAACUUCGGGAAACCGGAGCUAAUACCGGAUAAUAUUUUGAACCGCAUGGUUAAAAAGUGAAAGACGGUCUUGCUGUAACUUAUAGAUGGAUCCGCGCUGCAUUAGCUAGUUGGUAAGGUAACGGCUUACCAAGGCAACGAUGCAUAGCCGACCUGAGAGGGUGAUCGGCCACACUGGAACUGAGACACGGUCCAGACUCCUACGGGAGGCAGCAGUAGGGAAUCUUCCGCAAUGGGCGAAAGCCUGACGGAGCAACGCCGCGUGAGUGAUGAAGGUCUUCGGAUCGUAAAACUCUGUUAUUAGGGAAGAACAUAUGUGUAAGUAACUGUGCACAUCUUGACGGUACCUAAUCAGAAAGCCACGGCUAACUACGUG